rnacentral:misc_RNA from 1 species
GAGCAGCGGGAACCAGAUCCAGAACACCGCCAUCCCAACAAUCUCACCCCAUCGGUGUUGUACAUUCUUCUUCGUUAGUAAGAGAAUGAACGACUGAGCCCAGAGGUUCAGCCUCGCGAAGCACAUCACCGGAUAGAACGUCCAGUGCUGGUAGCUGACGAGGAAGCGGGAGGCUGCAUCGAAGGUCAUUUUCCGUUCGUAAGCAUAUGAAGUGAUUGAAUCGAAGAUGGGCGACGCGACGGCGAAGAACGGGAUGUGCUGGAGAUCGGGGUCGUAUUCGAGACUAUUGCAGGCGAUGUGAUGGGCGUUGUGGUUCCACUUCCACCAGGCAAUGCUGAUGCCGGCGAGGCAGUU